CACAAAAAUCAAAAUGAGAAAGAGAAAGAGAGAGAGAGAGAGAAAGAGAAUGAAUGGGAGGAAGGAAAGAUGAAACAGAUAAGAGUUCUUGGGGUCGUUUUUUUUGUUUUGUUUUGUUUUCUGAGACUUCAUGUUCCCACCAGUGUGGGUUCUUUCCCCAGCCAGCCAGUCCCAGAAUGUUUGGCGGCAGGACAAGGCCAGAGUCUCAGGCCAUGGGAAUCUCUGACCAAGUUGCAGGGAGGAAGAAGAAAGGCAGUUAGAGAGUUAGAGACUAUGAAAAGGAGGUGGAGGAGGAGGGGAGCCAGCCUGGAGUCUGAGAGAAGAAUCCAGGCGCCACGGUGUAACAGCUGCCUCAGAUACACCACCCGCAUCCCAUUAUCCCUAUAAAUAGUCUUCUAUGAGCCAUGCGGGUGGCAAGGAAGAUUAUCUGCAUUAUAUAGGAGGAGUGACUGAAGCACAGAGAAGCUUUCAAGAUCACACGGCCCCAGGAACUCACGGUGAUGAAGACUUAGGACACGUGGUAACUACU
rnacentral:lncRNA from 10 species